rnacentral:rRNA from 1 species
AGUGAACGCUGGCGGUAGGCCUAACACAUGCAAGUCGAACGGCAGCACAGGAGAGCUUGCUCUCUGGGUGGCGAGUGGCGGACGGGUGAGGAAUACAUCGGAAUCUACUCUGUCGUGGGGGAUAACGUAGGGAAACUUACGCUAAUACCGCAUACGACCUACGGGUGAAAGCAGGGGAUCUUCGGACCUUGCGCGAUUGAAUGAGCCGAUGUCGGAUUAGCUAGUUGGCGGGGUAAAGGCCCACCAAGGCGACGAUCCGUAGCUGGUCUGAGAGGAUGAUCAGCCACACUGGAACUGAGACACGGUCCAGACUCCUACGGGAGGCAGCAGUGGGGAAUAUUGGACAAUGGGCGCAAGCCUGAUCCAGCCAUACCGCGUGGGCGAAGAAGGCCUUCGGGUUGUAAAGCCCUUUUGUUGGGAAAGAAAUCCAGCUGGUUAAUACCCGGUUGGGGUGACGGUACCCAAAGAAUAAGCACCGGCUAACUUCGUGCCAGCCGCCGCCGUAA